GAUGAACGCUGGCGGCGUGCUUAACACAUGCAAGUCGAACGAAGAUGCCGGAGUGCUUGCACUUUGGCAGACUGAGUGGCGGACGGGUGAGUAACGCGUGGGUAACCUGCCUUAUACAGGGGGAUAACAGUUGGAAACGACUGCUAAUACCGCAUAAGCGCACGGUAUCGCAUGAUACAGUGUGAAAAACUCCGGUGGUAUAAGAUGGACCCGCGUCUGAUUAGCUAGUUGGUGAGAUAACAGCCCACCAAGGCGACGAUCAGUAGCCGACCUGAGAGGGUGACCGGCCACAUUGGGACUGAGACACGGCCCAGACUCCUACGGGAGGCAGCAGUGGGGAAUAUUGCACAAUGGAGGAAACUCUGAUGCAGCGACGCCGCGUGAGUGAAGAAGUAAUCGUUAUGUAAAGCUCUAUCAAGCAGGGAAGAUAGUGACGGUACCUGACUAAGAAGCUCCGGCUAACUACGUGCCAG
rnacentral:rRNA from 1 species